rnacentral:rRNA from 1 species
UACAGAGGGGGCGAGCGUUGUUCGGAAUUACUGGGCGUAAAGGGCGCGUAGGCGGCCAACUAAGUCAGACGUGAAAUCCCUCGGCUCAACCGGGGAACUGCGUCUGAUACUGGAUGGCUUGAAUUCGGGAGAGGGAUGCGGAAUUCCAGGUGUAGCGGUGAAAUGCGUAGAUAUCUGGAGGAACACCUGUGGUGUAGACAGCUUACUGGACCAUUUCUGACGCUGAGACACGAAAGCGUGGGUAGCAAACAGG